rnacentral:rRNA from 1 species
UACGUAGGUGGCAAGCGUUGUCCGGAUUUACUGGGCGUAAAGAGCGCGCAGGCGGUCGUUCAAGUCGCGUGUGAAAGCCCCCGGCUCAACUGGGGAGGGUCACGCGAUACUGAUCGACUCGAAGGCAGGAGAGGGUAGUGGAAUUCCCGGUGUAGUGGUGAAAUUCGUAGAUAUCGGGAGGAACACCUGUGGCGAAGGCGGCCAUCUGGACGUUCACUGACGCUGAGACGCGAAAGCGUGGGUAGCAAACAGG